UCCCUCCCAUUGGGCAUCUUCUCCUUAGGGGAAGAACAUCCCUCUGAGGUCACUGGAGGCCUAGACCUAUCAGCAGCUCAUGGUCGUACAAAGAAAGCAGAAGAGGUGGUAGCUUCCUAAUGUGUCAAGAUAUACUUCGAACAAUAUGAUCCUCCAAGAGAAGGAAUCCAUGGAGUCUGGAGAGGCUCUUGGAGUAUGACAGAGGUG